rnacentral:rRNA from 1 species
GCUUGUCUCAAAGAUUAAGCCAUGCAUGUCUAAGUAUAAACGAAUUUAUACUGUGAAACUGCGAAUGGCUCAUUACAUCAGUUAUAGUUUAUUUGAUGGUCCUUGCUACUUGGAUAACCGUAGUAAUUCUAGAGCUAAUACAUGCAUAAAACCCUAACUUCUGGAAAGGGUGCACUUAUUAGAUAAAGCCAACGCUGGGUAAAACCAGUUUCCCUUGGUGAUUCAUAAUAAUUAAGCGGAUCGCAUGGCCUUGUGCUAGCGACAGUCCACUCGAUUUUCUGCCCUAUCAUGGUUGAGAUUGUAAGAUAGAGGCUUACAAUGCCUACAACGGGUAACGGGGAAUUAGGGUUCGAUUCCGGAGAGGGAGCCUGAGAAACGGCUACCACAUCCAAGGAAGGCAGCAGG